AAUGGCUAUUAACCAUUAACCUUUCCUCCCUACUGAAAGUGCUUUACAACCCGCAGGCCUUCUUCACACACGCGGUAUUGCUGCGUCAGGCUUUCGCCCAUUGCGCAAUAUUCCC
rnacentral:rRNA from 1 species